rnacentral:lncRNA from 1 species
AAUUUACACGUCACACAAAACGACAAAACCAUAUUCAUAACUAUCUACAUACAUACAGUUCCGUGGCCGCAUGCGUCCAUAGCUCCACAUAGAUUUUGUUGCUUGUGAACAUUUCAUCCCAUCCAUCAAACCGUGGUCUUACAUCCCGAUGUCUGGGGGUCCCACAUCGCCGGCACCAAGUACUUGCGCCCAUUUAUCCCGUGAGCGUUGUAGCUCGCUCCACUUACCUUAUCCACCAAGACCCGACCCGGAUAUCCCGGAUAAGAACCUGACCCAAACACACCCGUACAUGCCGUGGCCGCCUCAAUCGGCGCCGUUGGCGGGCCUUGGAAAUACCCGUUAUUGAACGGGUUAGUGACGGUGUUGGCCAAAAGGGUAGCUAAAUUGAUAAUCAUUCCAUCAACGCCGACGUCUCCGUUAGGCGCGACUAAUGGCGGGGUUUGAGGGCCGUAAAUGGGCUGGUGGAAAGGCCAGGCACAGUAGCCAGGGCACUGAGUCUCGGAGUUUCCAACCCAGAUAUAGGUUCCACGGCUGGCCAACCCACGACCCGGCAGAGCAGACCCGUGGGUCCCACACCUGUUCAUGCAGAAGCCGUCCACGGCCACAUCCUUCGCCGUCAAAACGACGUUAAUUGACGUAGGGAGAGUGUUCGUUACUUUCUUGGACAAAGCAAGCAAAUGAACCUUCUUCAGUGCUUUGCCAAGGGAGUAGUUUUCCAAGAGGACUUGAUGCCGUACGACGAGGUUAGACGAACCUCCUUUGUAAUUUUCAGUUGUUUUCCACCACGAUGACGUGGAGGGCUGCGGGGCCCUGUUGAAAUUUAGGGAGUGGAUGAAGUCAACUAUUAUCGAGCGUUGGAUGGGAGUGAACUUGCCGUACCAGAUGAGAUUAACGGUGACGUUGCCUUUUAGAAGAGCGCCGUUGUGGUAUUUCAGGACGAGCGGUUGUUCUUGAACUAAAGCGUUGAGUUUUCUCGUAGUGGAAAGAGUGGGAGAGAUAAGAGUAGAACAGAAUAGGAAGAGGAUGGGAAAACUGUAAAUAGGAGCCAUGACUCCGGCAAAGAAGUUGAUAACGAGGCUGACAGAAAUAGGAACGUCUGGAGAGGCCGUGAGAGAACGUGAGGUGGAGAUGGUAUUUAUACUAGGGGUUUAUAGGAAGACAGCUGUAGAAGAGGGAAGGCGUCAACAUUGAGGAGUGACACGUGGAAAUAUCUUAUUAGUUGGAAAAUGUGAAGAAGGUUUGCCAGGCUGUAAGGUUCGCCUUGAUGACGUGGCAGUCUACUGUGAUGGGAUGUGAUAGAGACAUCGUAGUUUAGGCUGAAAAUAAAGCAGAUGCGAAGCAUGCAUGAGAGAUCAUGAGGGGCUGAGAGCAAAUUGAUAUUUUAUAAGAUGCCAAAAAAUAAAAAAUAAAAAUAAAAAUUUAAUUGUAAAACCACCAACAUUACCAUACACGGCUAAGUGAUAAUACUCGUCUUUGAACUUGGUAUUUUUAAAGUGAUAAACUUUUAGAGGCAAUAGAUCAUAGUUAAAAGUUCCUACAAAUAUAUAUAUAUAUAUAUAUAUAUAUAUAACUAUAAUUAAAAGUAAAAAUAUUGAUUUUCAUAAGUUACAGGGAUUAAUUUAUUAAAAAAUAUAUAUUAUAUGGUUUAAUGUCAUAAAUAAUAAUGCUCAUGAUUAAGGAAAAAAAUUAUGUAAGGUGAUUUGCCCAAGUUUUAUUGCAUUAACCGUUAAGUAUGUGAAUCUUAUCUUAAGGACCCGUCAAACUUGCCAAAUUGAUGAACUUUUGGGGGUAAUAAAUCAUAACUAAAAGUUACUAAAAAAAUUAUAAUUAAAAGUAAUAUAUCAAAUUUCAUAAAGUUAGAGGGGUUAAUUUAUAAAAAUAUACAUUUUAUGGUUUACUAUUAUAAAUGAUAAAUGCUCAUAGUUAAAGAGAAACAAUUAUAUAAGGAGGCUUUACAAGCCUUAUUGCAUUUAACGGGAAGUUGCCAUUAGUAGAUCUUUAAUGGUCCAGCCGUCAAGGCGUGUCCCAAAAAAUUUUUUCUCAUGCUAGAUCGGCCAAUAAAAAUAUAUAAUCUUCUUCUUCUUUUUUAAUUAAGAUUUUAUGGUAGAUUUUGUCUAUAUUAACUAUAAAACUUUUUUAACUAUGCUUAAUAAAUACUUGAACUAAGUUAUAAUUUUAUCGAUUUACCUUCCUAUAAGAGUCAUGAUUGUAAUAUUAGUAUAUUGUAACAUAAAACUUUAAAAAAAUGAUAUUAGUAUAUCAUAAUGAUAUAACAUAAAUUUCUUUCUAAAAUCAUGUAUUUGUUAGGUUUAUAAUUUGAAUUAUUUGUCAACAUUAGGUUGCAAAAUCUAAUAAGAUAGCGUUUAUUUUUCAAAUUAGGGUGGAAAUUCUGACUAAGAUUUGGAGUGUAGAGUGAGAUUGAGAGUAAGCUCUUUACUUACAUUGGAAUAAGAAUAUGAAAUAAGAAUUAGAAUUCCAUUUAUAUGUUUAUUUUGUGUUGGAUUUGGAUACUUUGUCUUGGAUUGGAGUGAAUUGUUUAAAUUACAAUUUUACCAUACAUAAAGAAUUUUAGGUUUUAAUUACGAAGUGAAAAAAUAUAUUUGUAAAAUAAACUAUUUAUUUUAUUAUUAAUUUUAAUUACAUAAAUUAGUAAUUAUUAUCAAUAUUCUUAAUUAUGUAAAUCAUAUUUUUUAUUAAUUUUAAAUUUAAUUAUGUAAAUUAAAAAUUAUUGAUAAGAGCAACACAAAUGAAACAUUAUUAUUAAUAAUAUAGUACAAAAUUAAUAUUUUCUUAUAAUAAACUAUUUAUUAUUAUUAUUUAUUAAUAUUAAAUAAAUAUAAUACUAUUAAAAAUUAAAUAUAUAUAAUAAGAUUAUAUUUUCAAAUAAAGAUACUAUAUAGCAAUAUUAUUAAUUUUCUAUGAAUAUAAUUAUAUUAUUUUUAAGUAAUUUUAACUUAGAGUCAAUGUAAAUUAUUAUUUUCAACUAAACAUAAUAAUGUUAUAUUUAAAUAAUUUUAACAAUAUUAUUUUUAAUAAAUAUAAUAUUAUUAAAUAAUAAUAUAAUAAUAUUUAAAUAAAUAUGAUAUUAGUAUUUUGAAAUAAAUGUAAUAUUAUUUUGAAAUAAAUAUGAUAUUAGUAUUUUGAAAUAAAUGUAAUAUUAUUUUAUUUUAAUAAUAUAAUUAUAUUGUAUUUAAUAAAUGAGUGAUAAAAAAAGAAGAGUAAGAAGUGGAUUCCCACUCCCACCUUUUCCCAUGAGAGUGGGAAUUCUACUUUUCACUCCAAAAAUAAAUGAGACUCCUUUCUAAAUAUGAAAGUAAACACCAAAGUAAAAAACUUUAAACGAAAAGGAGUAGUACUAAUAAGGCAAUUAAUUCUAUAUAUUUUUAUCGGACGAUGGAAAACUAAGUUUAAUUCUUUCCUAAGUUUUCCAUAAGUUAAUCUAAUAAAAUGACUUAAAUAAUUAGUAAUACAUUUUUUGGAUUAGAAACUAAAUAACUAUAACAUUACUGUUUGUAUUUUGUUUUAAUUUUAUGUUAUGUUAGAUUUUUAAUAUGUUCAGUAUAUUUAGCCCUAUAUUAUUUGUAUUGUGUCAAUGAUUUUCAGAUUUUUUUUUCUUUCCCUAUCCUCAAUUGGUUGUUACUUAAUUUUUCUUUACUAAACCAACUUUUCAAAUUGGUUGUAAUAUAACAUUACUAAACAACUUUCCAAUUAUUAAAAGAAAAAGGUUAAAUAAUUAUUUAUUCAUUUGUACCCAUUUUCCGAGUUGAGCGUCUAUAAGUUUAUGACGUCAGCUCAACGAUUCAGUACGAGUCGUAUGAAAGUUGUACUAUGCUUGUACCCUACAGCUACCAUACCAGACCCGUUUUACCCGUUUACAUUCCUAAUCACGUCGAUAGACCGUAUUGGAACACAUCAACAAUAAUUUUCCUUUUAUAACCCAAAAAAAAUAAAUAUGGUUUAAAGUUUAUCCUCUGGGCCCCUUGCUUCAAUAAAUGAGGAAAAUGAUCAAUAUCACUGAUUGAUUGAUCUUUUAACUGAUGCCGUGUUACAGAAGAUUGAACUUGCCUCCCAAGCGGCCAAGUUCUUAUCUUCAAACUUGUGGGACCACUUAGGGCAGAAUUCAGAAGGCGUGAGUUGAGAGAGGCUAGGGUAUGACGCGGACUAUACCAUAGCUACUGCACAUAAUUGGAGCGGGGCCCCCAUUUUGGCGAUGGUGGAGCCGAUGUAUAAUAUAAGGGAUGAUGAUGGCGUGACUCAUGAGCCAUAAGCUGUGGCCUAAAGGAGGGCCUUUGGUUCGGCCAUCGAAGUGUUUCAGAACUUCAGGAAUUAUUUUUAAUAAUUUUGUCACGCAUAAUACAAGCCACCUGAUUAAAAUACUGAAUUUUCAUUUACCUUCAGUCUCAUUCCCGAUGCUCUCGACCUGUGAGCCCAAGUAAGCUUUAGUGACCUUUACGUCACUUUUUUCUAGUAGAUAGUACAGAGCUAGUCUAUACUGAGGCGAUUUCAUUGUACAGCUGCCCUGAACCGACCCAGAGUGUACUUCAGAUCAUGCCGU